CCUACGGGAGGCAGCAGUGGGGGAUAUUGCACAAUGGGGGAAACCCUGAUGCAGCGACGCCGCGUGAGUGCAGAAGUCUCUAGGUAUGUUAAGCUCUAUCAGCCGGGAAGAAAAUGACAGUACCUGACCACGCAGCCACGGCUAACUACGUGAAAGCAGCCGCGGGAAUACGUAGGGGGCAAGCGUUAUCCGGAUUUACUGGGUGUAAAGGGAGCGUAGACGGGUAUGUAAGGCUGGAGUGAAAGCCCGGGGGCCAACCCCGGGACUGCGUUUGAAACCGUGUAACUGGAGUACAAGAGAGGCAGGCGGAAGUCGUGGUGUAGCGGUGAAAUGCGUAGAUAUCAAGAAGAACACCGGCGGCGAAGGCAGCCUGCUGGACUGAAACUGACGUUGAGGCUCGAAAGCGUGGGGAGCGAACAGGAUUAGAUACCCGAGUAGUC
rnacentral:rRNA from 1 species